ACCCGCUGAACUUAAGCAUAUCAAUAAGCGGAGGAAAAGAAACUAACAAGGAUUCCCCUAGUAACUGCGAGUGAAGCGGGAAAAGCUCAAAUUUAAAAUCUGGCGGUCUUUGGCCGUCCGAGUUGUAGUCUGGAGAAGUGCUUUCCGCGCUGGACCGUGUAUAAGUCUCUUGGAACAGAGCGUCAUAGAGGGUGAGAAUCCCGUCUUUGACACGGACUACCAGUGCUUUGUGAUGCGCUCUCAAAGAGUCGAGUUGUUUGGGAAUGCAGCUCAAAAUGGGUGGUGAAUUCCAUCUAAAGCUAAAUAUUGGCGAGAGACCGAUAGCGAACAAGUACCGUGAGGGAAAGAUGAAAAGCACUUUGGAAAGAGAGUUAAACAGUACGUGAAAUUGCUGAAAGGGAAACGCUUGAAGUCAGUCGCGUUGUCCGGAACUCAGCCUUGCUUUUGCUUGGUGCACUUUCCGGAUGACGGGUCAGCAUCGAUUUUGACCGUCGGAAAAGGGCUGGAGUAAUGUGGCACCUCCGGGUGUGUUAUAGACUCUGGUCGCAUACGGCGGUUGGGAUCGAGGAACGCAGCGCGCCGCAAGGCAGGGGUUCGCCCACUUUCGCGCUUAGGAUGCUGGCAUAAUGGCUUUAAACGACCCGUCUUGAAACACGGACCAAGGAGUCUAACAUACCUGCGAGUGUUUGGGUGGAAAACCCGAGCGCGCAAUGAAAGUGAAAGUUGAGACCCCUGUCGUGGGGGGCACCGACGCCCGGACCUGACGUUCUCUGACGGAUCCGCGGUAGAGCAUGUAUGUUGGGACCCGAAAGAUGGUGAACUAUGCCUGAAUAGGGUGAAGCCAGAGGAAACUCUGGUGGAGGCUCGUAGCGAUUCUGACGUGCAAAUCGAUCGUCAAAUUUGGGUAUAGGGGCGAAAGAC
rnacentral:rRNA from 1 species